UUGUGCGAGACCGAUAGCGAACAAGUACCGUGAGGGAAAGAUGAAAAGAACUUUGAAAAGAGAGUUAAAGAGUACCUGAAACUGCUGAAAGGGAAUCGUAUCGUUUCCAGUGUCUUUAUCCUUGGGAUAUUUCAUUGGCGGAUGCGGGUGUGUAGUGGUUCGACUAGCAGUUCAUUCUGCAGUCUGCUAUUGCGCUGCUUGUAUUUGCCUGUGCCCUGUCCUUUGGUGUGACGUCAGAGUCAGUUUGUAAGUUGCGGGAGAUGGCUGUCGAGGAGGUAGUUCGAGCACUUGUGUUUGAAUGUUAUAUCUUGGCAUGCUAGUAGCCGUGGCUGAGACUGAGGUGCCAUACAACAUGCCUUGUGAGUCUGCGAGUAUCUCGGUUGCAUUACUGUUUGGAUAGCUUGCUAUGCUGAUGGUAAUUGUGAUCGAUUGGUAUUUGUAGUAACUUGUUGCUGUUCGGGACUUUGAA
rnacentral:rRNA from 1 species